rnacentral:rRNA from 1 species
AGUGAACGCUGGCGGUAGGCCUAACACAUGCAAGUCGAACGGCAGCACAGUAAGAGCUUGCUCUUACGGGUGGCGAGUGGCGGACGGGUGAGGAAUACAUCGGAAUCUACUUUUUCGUGGGGGAUAACGUAGGGAAACUUACGCUAAUACCGCAUACGACCUACGGGUGAAAGCAGGGGAUCUUCGGACCUUGCGCGAUUGAAUGAGCCGAUGUCGGAUUAGCUAGUUGGCGGGGUAAAGGCCCACCAAGGCGACGAUCCGUAGCUGGUCUGAGAGGAUGAUCAGCCAAACUUGAACUGAGACACGGUCCAGACUCCUAAGGGAGGCAGCAGUGGGGAAUAUUUGAACAUGGGCGGCAGCCUGAUCCAGCCAUACCGCGGGGGUGAAGAAGGCCUUCGGGUUGUAAAGCCCUUUUGUUGGGAAAGAAAAGCAGCAGGUUAAUACCCCGCUGUUCUGACGGUACCCAAAGAAUAAGCACCGGCUAACUUCGUG